GCCAGAACCAAUCCUCACACGAAAACACAGCGCACCAGGACCAAUCCUUUACCGUCCUCGAGCCCCACGCCACUCUUCUCCCAUCCGCGUCGUCCGGCCUCCCCUGCUCCUCGGUCCCCCGCCGCCUCACGGCCUCUCGCACCGCUGCCUUUUCUCCCGGCCUCUUCCCCGGCGCUCGAGGUGCAGUAGCGUGGGCGCUGCCACGUUCUCGAUCCAGUCGGAUCUGGCGCAGGUCGCCGGCAUCCGGCACCGCGCGCCGUGAUUCCAGAUCGGGCGUAGGUCGCCGGCAGGAGAGCAGGAGCGGCUGCUGCAGCGAGUGCAGUGGAGGAUCCUACCCUGGUCAAGCCCCACCCCGGCGGCUGCGUGCAGAAGAGGAGCGGUCGAGGAUGGCCGGCAGUUCGUGGAGGAGACGCUCGGCACAGAUAGGGAUAGCGAGGAGGAGGUUGUCCCCGCGAGGAGGCAACGUGAGGCUGCACGGGCGCCUCCCCAUGUGUGCAUCUACCGAGAAUGGAUGGACUCAAGUGGGUAAGGACGCCAUCAGCACGUGAUAAGAUUAGGUGCUGGGUACCACAUCCGCCCAAAUCCAAGGUCUCAAGCCACACAGGUCAGCUUCUACUUCAUACAUGAUUUCUUCAUCUCAGUUGUACCAGAAUAGAAAGCCAUGCCUCUGCCUUCACCAAGAGUAGUAUUUUCUGCAGGUUUUCCACCAUCUCCUACUGACCACGCAUGCCUCAUAAUUUGGUGGAUGUACCAUUUAUGUAGCUUUAUUCACUAGGCAUGGAGAUGGGGCUGUCGCUUUGGUUGUAGCCAUUCAUAUGCAUACACGCAAGGAUGGAGAUUUCAGUUGUGCUUACCUCGACAAAAUAUCAUUGUUGGUAGCAUAGCCAUAUCAUUGUACUUGGCAUCUACCUUACUGUAUUAGGAUUCUUAAUGUUUCAUGAGGUUUUAUUUUGUGAGUUCUGGUAUUAUUUGUUAUAAUUGCGUGAAACUAUUUCUGAACCUAUAUGACAUAAAUUUAGUGUUACCAGUCUGGAAGUUAUGAUAGCAAUGGUUUUAACAUUUUCAUGUUUUAUCUUUUUUGUAAUCAUAUCACUUGCGGGGAAUAUGUUCAGAUGUCUCGUGCUUGGAAAGGGCCCAUUACACAUAUCAUGGAAACAAGAUCUAUUUUUGUAUUUUUGUAAUCAUUAAACAUAUCAGAUGUCUCGUGUUUGGAAUGUGCAAGCUGAACUCCUCUAUCAUUGGCGUUAAUCUUCCAAUCAACAAGGUAAAUGGGAUACAAUAUAUAAUCCAUGACUCUUUCCUCGAUUCCUUUUACAUUAUCGAAUCUGACGGUCACCAUUAUUAACCAUCACAUAUUAGUAUUAGGAUUGAAUCUUCUGUGCUAUUGCAUUUGUUUAGAGAAGUUUUGACCUAUACUUUCAGGAACAGUCCACCGGUCAGUUUCUUCGUGUAAAAGGAAUUGAGAAAGUCAUGGAUUUGUACGAUUGAAUGUUUGUGUUGCUGCAUUUGUUCAGAGAAGUUUUGACCUGUACUUCCAGGAACAGUCCACCGGUUGUCAAUGCAGUCCAUAGAGAACAAGUUGCUAAAAAAAUAUGGGAUGCAGUUAGCCUAAGAGUGACCACUUAGGCACUUACCAAAUUUUUGUUAAAUUACAAAUGGAAUCCACUACCAUACAUGUUCGCAUUAGUGAUAUGUUCAUUUCUCCCCUGGAUAGUUAUCAAUGCAGUCCAUAGAGAACAAGUUGCUAAAAGAAUAUGGGAUGCAGUUAGCCUAUGAGUGACCACUUACCAAAAUUUUGCUAAAUUACAAAUGGAAUCCACAGUACAAUAUUGUACUUUUAUCAAAUUGCAUAAAUCAGUGUACUAUUUUCAUGAAUAUUAUGCAGGGAGCUCCAUUCUACCUUGGUUGCUUCAAAUAAAAAAUCUGCCGACUGAAAGUAUGUCAGUUGGUUAUUGGUGCUCUUGGCCCUUUAUGCUUAUUGGUUAUUUGCUUCAUGUGGUUUCCAUUUUUAACUACAUGGGCAAUUUUAAUUUCAGUGUUUAUAUAUCUAUCAGUUCUCGUGCUCAUUGUAGAUUAUGCAAUACAAUUAUGUUCAGAGGAGCUUUAGAGUAAAGACUAACCAGUACAAGACCUGUUUUUGCAAGGGCCAUUACACAUAUCAUGGAAACAAGAUGGUUAUUGAUUUAUGCUGCACAAUGCCCUAUCUAUGUUCAGAAUAUAUUCAUGUCUGAAUAAUACAAUUAGAAGCGAUAGAAGUGUUCGCUGAAAUGGAUUUUCUUACUCAACACAAUAUAUUGGCGAGCUUGAAAAAAAUAACUUGAAGCAAAGGAUGGAGAGUAUAUCUCAACAACAAGUAAUUAAACAUGGUAAGUAAUCAUCACGCCCUUUGAAUUUUUUGUUUCUUGUCUAAGAGUUCUGCUCUCCAUUAAAAUAGCAUUUCGGAAAUUGCAUUGACUUCAUGGGAUAUUAGUCAAGUGCAAACCUUCAGUUAAUUUUGCUGGCACUACAUUUUCUUUUUGAUGUCAACAGAAUUGAGGACAUUGUGCAUUCAUUGACAUUAACAAGGACCUGAGCAUGCAUUCCUGAAGUAAGUCUGAUGGUUAGCUUAGCAGUGUGUACAAGCAUAGGAAUUUUUUGCUAUGUACUUUGCAGGCUGAUUUUAGAUAUUGAAAGAAGGUUUAGUCGAUAGAAUGUACCAUAAAAACCUUACGCAUCUACUCUUUCUUUAUUUUUUCAUUGCUUUCAAGAUUAUCAGUUCCCACUAGGUAUGUUCACUUCAGGUUGUGGUGUUGAGCCUUCAGCGUUACACUCUGAAUAUUUAACCAUUAGAUGACUGAACCUAUAAACCUCUUAAAAAUGCAUUGUUACUUUUUAUGUUGAAUUAAACUUAUUCAGUUUAUGAACAUUUGUACAUGCUGCUACAAAGCAUAAAAAGGGGGGAAAUAAAAAUUCAUUUGCUGACUGUUCUUGCAUCGAUAGUUUUGUGGUGCAAAAUAGGAACUAAGAGGCUCACUUGUAGUAUUAGACUGUCUAUGUUACAGCCAGCACGUUCCAUUUUGUUUCUACAUAUUGUUCGCUAAAGAAGGUUGCAGAGAUAUCGCUAUGGAGAAGAAAAACGUGGUGAGAUGGGGAUUACAGUUUAUUGCAAACUUAGAUGGGAUUAUAGUUUUUGUUUUUUUGUUGGUCAUGUUUUCUUAGGAUAAUUCAUUGAUAGCUGAUCUUGUUGUCUACAGAUUUUCUUAGAAUUGUACCAACAUUGUUCAUACUACUGCUUGUGGGGUUAUCCCCCUGAUUUUGUUAGGAAGCUUUGCUUAUAGUUACCUGCAAAUUGCUCUUGGAUGCGUGAGAUCAUUUAGUUUCGGAUCCAUGCUUGUGUGGUUUGCUCGUGCAUGCCAUCUCUUUUGGCGGUCGGUGUGCAGUCCAUGCUACCUGCUUCUUCUUCUUAUUUGCUUGUUCAUUAUUUAUAUAUGAUCAACUCAGAUGGGGUUGCCUUCUGAAUUUAGCAUGACAACUAUUGAUGUUGGUGUAGUAUGCUUCCUCAUCCGGCAGACCACCACCUACUUCAGUAUGUGUGCUUCUGAAUUUAGCACGACAACUAUUGAUGUUGCGUUAGUACGUUUUCUUUAGGAUCCAACGGGCGAACAUUUCCUCUUUACACAUGAAAUGCUUCUUCUCUUCUCACUAAUGAUCGCUAUUAUAAGCCUUUCAUUUUUCUCACUAAUGCAUGCAAGUUAAUUAACUAUCUAAUAGAAUGAAACUCUGCUUCUAGGGUCCAGUAGGUGUUUGUUGUUGCAUGUGCAAAUAGUGAUCCUUGUUGCUCACUGAUACAUGCAUGUUUAUUAACCUUUUCUGUUUUUCACUAAUGCAUACGACCUAAUUCACCAUCCAAUAAAAUGAACUUGUGCUUUCAGGGUUCCGUAGGUCUUUUCGCUGACUGUUUGCUUAUGUUGUAUUUAGGCUGUUCUUUUUCCGCUUUUUCAGAUGUAUGUCAUGUACGUGUAGCCGUGGUUCUAAAACAUCUCCAUUCUUUUUCUUCCUAUCAACGUACUUUGAUUCAGUUAUUUGACUAAGUAGUAUAUAUUAUAUUCCCAGGGUUAAUUAGUACCUAAAAUGCUACCUUUAGUUUCUGCAAUUGUUAUUAUGUUUCAUUGAUUCAGUCCUGUAGUUCAAUUGUUCCAGUGGAUUUUGCUAAAUUGUUUUCUAUCUUUAAUUAGUAAAUAAAAGGCCUCGGUUGGUUUCUGUAAUAAUUUCCUUCAAGCUCUCUAUAAUUGUUUAUUUAUUAGUUAUUACACAUAUAGAGUUCUUUAAUGUCUUUGUUUAUAAUAUGACAUUCCCUCAUUAGUUUUUUUGUUAUGUGGAGGGUAAUUUUCUUUUGCUGUGACUUGUGCUUUGUUAUGUGCAGGUUGCAGUCACAGGGACGAGCUGGCCGACCAUAUCAACAAGGUCAACGCAACAGAGUUGAAGGAAAUAUUAAGGUAAGAGGAAAAAUAAAUGCUACAGUCCCUCUUUAUGUUUGUAUCGUUCGGUUGUACCGUAAUUCCAUGUUUUCUGCAAUGCCGCUUCUCUGUCAUUCAUGUCUCACUCUUGGUUAGCUAUAGAGAAAUAUUCCAUGUCUAUUGCCCUGAUUUCCAGUCCACUUUAUGAAAGCCUGUUGUAACUGUUUGCGUAAGUGCUUGUAUGAGCAUGCUAAAUAUCAUGUGUCCGGCUAAACUUAUAUGUUUGCUUGUCUUUGGAAAUAUUCACCCGUGGUGUUGUGCAUUGGCAUGCAUUUAUAUUGGCAACUCUGUUUUUAUUUCUCUUUUGUGAUAGUUUUAGGUGAGAACACAAUACUUAUAGUUGUGACAUACACUACAGGAUUUUUAUAAUUAUUAAUUCUUUGAAUGUGAUCGUGCCAGCGUGCC
rnacentral:rRNA from 1 species